rnacentral:pre_miRNA from 8 species
ACACAUAUAUACGUAUAUAUGUGUGUAUAUAUGUACAUAUACACAUAUACACACAUAUAUACGUAUAUAUGUGUG